UACGGAGGGUGCAAGCGUUAAUCGGAAUCACUGGGCGUAAAGCGCACGUAGGCGGCUUUGUAAGUCAGACGUGAAAGCCCACGGCUCAACCGUGGAAUUGCGUUUGAUACUGCAUAGCUUGAGUCCUGGAGAGGGAAGCGGAAUUCCGGGUGUAGGAGUGAAAUCCGUAGAGAUCCGGAGGAACACCGGUGGCGAAGGCGGCUUCCUGGACAGGUACUGACGCUGAGGUGCGAAAGCGUGGGGAGCAAACAGGAUUAGAUACCCGCGUAGU
rnacentral:rRNA from 1 species